UACAGAGGGUGCGAGCGUUAAUCGGAAUUACUGGGCGUAAAGCGUGCGUAGACGGUUAUGUAAGUCGGGUGUGAAAGCCCCGGGCUCAACCUGGGAAUUGCAUUCGAGACUGCAUAGCUAGGAUGCGGAAGAGGGAAGCGGAAUUUCCGGUGUAGCGGUGAAAUGCGUAGAUAUCGGAAGGAACAUCAGUGGCGAAAGCGGCUUCCUGGUCCAGCAUCGACGUUCAGGCACUAAAGCGUGGGGAGCAAACAGG
rnacentral:rRNA from 1 species